GGCCCUGUAGUUUAGUUGGUAGCACUCGUCUAGCAUACAAGAGUCGUGGGUUCGAAUCCCAUCUGAGCAC
rnacentral:tRNA from 1 species